GACGAACGCUGGCGGCGUGCUUAACACAUGCAAGUCGAAACGAGGUAGCAAAUACCCUAGUGGCGGACGGGUGAGUAAACACGUAGGUAACCUGCCCAAUCGUGGGGGAUACCCAGCCGAAAGGUUGGCUAAUACCGCAUAAGCUUGUUGGUUGAAAUACCGAUAAGGAAAGAUUUAUCGCGAAUGGAGGGGCCUGGGUCCGAUUAGCUAGUUGGUGAGGUAAUGGCUCACCAAGGCGACGAUCGGUAGCUGGUCUGAGAGGACGAUCAGCCACACUGGAACUGAGACACGGUCCAGACUCCUACGGGAGGCAGCAGUGGGGAAUUUUCCGCAAUGGGCGAAAGCCUGACGGAGCAACGCCGCGUGGAUGAU
rnacentral:rRNA from 1 species